rnacentral:pre_miRNA from 1 species
AAUAAGUGCAUAUAUAGAUAUCCGUGUUCAGUAUUUUGACCGUUCGUCUUAUUUGAAAAAUUUAUGACAAAAUUAAAAAUAAUUAGUCACACAUAAAGUACUACUCAUGUUUUAUCAUGUAAUAACAAUAAAAAUACUAAUCAUAAUUUUUUUUCAAAUAAGACGAACGGUCAAACGUUAGACAUAAACAGUGCUAAAAUUACA